rnacentral:lncRNA from 1 species
UUACAUUUAAAAAUAGCUUGAUGUAAUAUCCACAAAACUUUUUUCAUAAUAACAUAGGAUAUGGUGAUGAACACAUAUCUCAUUUACAAGUAUUGUUUGUAAUAUACACAAUUCCACAAUAUUCAUCAUCUUACAAUAUAUAUUUCACACUUCCAUAAUAUACACCAUUUAUAAUUGUAGCCUCGUCCUUCUGGUUAACUUAAUUAUACAUCACAUUCACAUGUUUGAGAUAUGCUUUAUUUAAAUAAUAAAUAAUUAAAUAAAAUAUUUUUUUUUAAAAAAAAAGUGAUGAACACCUACCUGAGACUCUAGAAGUAUGUCUAUCUUCCAAUGCUAGUCCAAACUCGAAUGUCUCUCUUGAUUUUUCCAGGAAACAUCUCCUAUCAAUAACCCAACUCAAUCUAAUCUAUUUGUAACAAUUACACAUUCACAUCAUAAUCUGUAUUUGAAAUAAUCCAUCCUCAUUUUCCUCUCCAGCCUUUUUUUUUUCUCGAGAAGUCCUGUCCCCAGUCCCCUGCACCACAAACCAGUCGCAAAAACCUGGGCUACAACAGGAGGUUUCUGCUUCUAUUUUUAUAUGCUUGUGUCACGAUCAGGACUCAUAUUUUGUGUCCACACUCAACAUUGGUCUACUUUAUUUACUCUCCUUGUCUUUAGCUUCUUGUAUCAUAUAUUUUUGGACAACUAGAUAGACUUAAUCCCACAGUUGCAUGCAUGCAUCUGGGAAGAAAAAGAACAGUUUCUUUCUGUGAUGAAAUAAAUGUAAAAUCCAUGAUCCCAGCGAAUCCCUUAAUGUUAAAAGAAAGAAAAUUAAGAGCAAUUAAAGUGGUGUAUAAUUAAUUAGAGAAUCACAUGCUUCCAGUUCUACAAUCUACAAAAACAAUCAUGGCCCAUCAAAGAAAGCACUCAAGGAUUUCAUGCCAUCAUGUAUAUAACGAGGCUCUCCUGCCGGAUCAAAUCUAGAAAAUUAAGCAAGGAGAAAGAUAAUUAAAGAGAUUCAUCAUUUAUUUAAUUAACAGCUACUUUCUACUCCCAAUCGUUGAUGAGAAGUUCUGGCUCUACGUCCCUCAGCGACAAGUGCUUCACGAGCUGAUGUGAUUCCUUUUGGGGCUAACAGCUUGUCAAAUGAUGAAUAAUCAAUCCAAUCUGUAAGCAAAUUUUCUUGACCCCAUGUAUCCGGAAUCAUCACCUUGCCACUCACCUCUUCUCUAUGCCUCUUUAGUCUCUCACGUCCUGUAGUAGUAGUAGUAGUAAGAGUAACACUUUCUCUGUGCAUUAAAAUCAAUGCCUCGGCUGCCUGCUCUUUCACUUCAUUCCCAACAUUCUCCACUCCAGGAUAAGAACACCAUGUUUGUGCUUUGUUCAUGAUUUGCGAGGGUUCUGCCCUAGAAGGUGACUUUGGUUGCCAAGAAAAUGCAAUAUUCCUAGUCGUGGGUUUUCCUGGAUUGGAGGAGGGUUCUUGUUUCAUAGAUGACAAGUGCAUGCCCUCCAUUUUGAAGCAAAAUACCGGGGCUUGCUACACUAGGGAGUGCUGGCUAGAUUUUGACAAGGCUUGAGGCUUAUAAAAUCUUGAUUGUGUGUGCAAGAAAGAAUAGAUGGGAGGGAAGUUAUAAUACAGAUCACAAGUGUUAAUUUUUUUUGUAUGGUAUCUGACAACCCUACGUCUCAUCAUCCAUGCUUCUUGUUGGGGUCAGAUUUGUGUGGCUUAAGUUGGUAUAGAAAGGUAGAUUUGAAUAGUACACAGCAGGACUCUUCUAAUAAAAAAUAUGUUUCUGUUUUUUGGAUGGCUGAAGGUGGCCAACAAGUGUGCGCGGUGUGCACUAGCUAGGUUUGGUCCAAUACCGUCGGUUGAUUUGUAUGUGAAUUAAUUGAGGUGGAAAGGUAGCACACAGGAAUUGAUUUUCUAGGGAGCAAACAUGUGGAUGAGUAUAAAAACAGAACAGGAUCACAGAAAUUGAUUUCCUGAGGCAAAGAUUUUAUGACAUGUAUAUAGAGAAAAUGAGAUAUAUUUUUUAGAGUAUCAUACUUAAUGCUAAGAUGAAGACUAAGAACCUAUUUUGAUCCCAAAAAUAAUCUCUGAGUUGAGAAAUCACUGAAAAAAGGUAACCAGGCACAAGUGGUAAGAAAGCUUCAAGGGGCCAAAACAAGAAAUAAUAAGUGGCAUCUCACUAGGAUUCUAUUAUAUCACCCAAAAGGCAUAGAUCAAUGUCAUAUUGAUGUACUACCAAAUUCUUUAUUUGGAGAAAAGAAUUGGAGGCUCUACACAUACCACAAAUGCAAUUUUAAAAAUCUAAACUUGAACAAUUAUUUUCUGAGUGAAUCUCUAGCAUUCCAGUCAACUCUAAAGGGUGUCAGGAGAAGAUCUCUGAAAGGAAAAGAAAAAACAAAGAGAAGAAGAAUAUACAUUUCAAUACAAUGAAAUAACGAGCAAAACAGGUCACAUUCGUGGGAAGAGAGAACGGCCCUUCUUCCUCAAGAACUCAGGAAUCUCCACAGAGCCACCAUCGGCGUAUGGUGGACGUCUAUUUGUUCCAAGAGAAACAUCACCAUGAGCACGCUGCGUCCCCUGCAUUUUGGCCGGUCAAAAGGAUAUAAACAGAUAAAAUUUAUCAUAAGAAGAUGGACCUCAAAAACAUACCUGUCCUUCACCUUCAUCCCGGCGAUUGAAUCCAGUGGCGAUCAGGGUUAUGCUAACCUAAAUGACAAAAGGACACCAACAAUAACUAAAUAAAGAGAGAUGAUUAUCGCUUAAUCAGACUUAAAGCUCAUGCAGCAAGAAAUGUUAUUUAUAAUAUCCUCAUACAUCAGAACUCAACAACAUAGAACUUCAGCUUCCAGGCUCUUCGAACAGAAGAAAGAGGUAGAACCAAUAAAGAUUUCUUUUUGGAUUCAUCCCUUGGAGUUGAAUACCUCAUUAUCACAAGCUAAAUUAGCAAUUUCAGAUGUCAUGUUUGUUAAUUACAGUUAUAAAAACUCAAUUUUGAUUUAUUGUUUGCUCAUCGUCAAUACUAUCUUAAAGGAAAAACAUUAUGUAAUCUGACGUACAAAGCAAGGGAAAUGGGAUUGCUAAACAUAAUGGUUCUCUAAUAACCUGAAAGCUCAUUCAUACCACUAACUUGAAGGACUCAUGCAAUGACAUUAAAGCUUGAAGUUCAAAAGAAAAAAAAUUAUAAUAAGAUUAGAAAAGGUUGCAUAAAUUCGCAUUCUUGAAAAAUUAGCUGUAUAUCUGGGUUUUCUCAGUCCUUUAUUGUUUGAAGUCUUCUGCUUUAGGCUUCAUAAAUUGAUUAGUAAAUUCAUUAAACGGGUUAUCCAGAAAUUCAUGUGGAAUUGCUUAGCAAUUCAAUUCAUUUUUUAUGAGAAACUUUGGUAUAUAGGACAUAUACAGUUCUGGAAGUUUUGACGUAGAAAAAUCUUUGACAAAGAGAAAUUGACUCUUGAUGGCCACUUGAAUGAGAAAAGCUUUGCUAAGGUCAAAUUUUGUGAUAUGCAACAGUAAUCAUUUAUCUGUAUUUUCUAUUUCGUCCUCAGAACCUCAAUUUUUCCUUGUAUUCCUUUUGUUUAAUUUUUUUUUUAAGAAAAUACCCUCCAGAUUACCUGUUACCAGAAUAAUAAAAAACAUAAUGUUACAGUUAUUUCUCUAUUGCCUACUUACUUGACCACUUAGUGCUGGAUCGAUCACUGCUCCAAAUAUUAGGUUUGCAGUUGGAUCCACAAGGUCAUAUAUAACCUCCGCUGCAGCAUUCACCUUCAAGAAAUAUGACACAAGAAUUGAAGUCAAAAUAUCUUCUCACUAAAUAGAAAACCAUGGCAGGAUGCUAGUAUAAAAUGGGUGUAGAGAGCCAUGUAGCUACAUAUUAACCCAAUUCGUUAUAACAAAUUAUAGCACAAAUGCACACGACAUUGGGUAGUGUUUUAGAUAAACAAGACAGAUUUUUUCACUGCUACAAUCCCAAAGGCAUACAAGUAAACCACUCAUUUCAUUUGCCUUUCCCCUACGUGCAAUAAAGUUUGUAUUGGUAUGCAGAACUUGCACAUUAAUAUAUGUAUGUCUCCUCAAAAAGCUGUUCCAACUUCAUGUUGGCCACUGUAGAAGUAGGUUGACUAUUAGGAUGUGGCCAGUAGAGAUGAGAAUGCACAUGUACAGGCCAUAGUUUUCUCAUCAUUCCCAGACAAGCUGGUGGCAUAUGUUGCUUAAAUCUUUUUAAAACAAAUAGAAAAAAAGAUGCAAGCACCUAUCUAACUGAUCAAAGCCAGGAUAUAAAGGAUGCUUGUACAGACUCAAUUUCUUUAUCCAAUAACAAAAAAUUAGAACAUCCAAUAAAGAGUGACAAUUUAUCAUGCUAAUAAACCAACAGCAUGACCAUGAUACUAUUUCACAAGGAAUUUUACUUUUUCCAAAGACUUCAUUCUGCGAGAGCAGGACCACUAUUUCAUGAGUUAAGGACAUGGCAUGUAUUACAGGUAGCUUAGCAAAUCUAUGUGUUCUUGUUUUGCUUGAAAAACAAUUACAUACAAAUUAGUGCGCCAACUCUCCAAAUCCUAACCUUUUGGAUUGCAAAAACACAACAGUGAUAAAGACUCAUUACAGAAAAGAAAAGAUUGCACCCAUUUGGCAUAAAAAAUUAUGCUUGCAAUCUUGACAUUUUCCCCUGGGGAUUUGAAACACAAGCAGUGAAUGUGCAUGCCUAUAUGUUUAAUAGUUAAUAUUCCCUAGUACUCCCAAAAAAACUACUAAAAAGUGCAGGAGAUAAAAUAGCAAUAAAAUCAGGUUCAACCACGACACUCAGAGAAGAAGGCCCACCUCAAACAAUGUUAAAUCAGUUCCACCAGUUAUAUUCCACACAAUCCCAGUAGCUCUUUCAAUGCCAAUAUCUAACAAAGGUGAUUGGAUGGCAUUCAAUGCAGCGUCUCUAGCCCUGGUCUUCCCUGCUAAUCAAUAAAGCAAAAAAAUUAUUACAGCUAGACAAUUAAAACUUUGAUCAUGAUGCAUCAAACAGUUUUGUGCAGAAACAAUUGAAGGGAAAACAGAAAUUGAGAAUGACACCAUGAAAGAGGCAGGCAUUCAGAAAAAUUAAAAAAGAGGUGUACCACAACAACCCGAGAAAUUAAUAAUAGAAAUGCAUGUAGUGACAUAACAAUGUUAUUCUUUUCUUUCUUCUUUUACAUACCAGUUGCAGUUCCUAUUCCCAAAAGAGAAGAACCUGCAUCUUUCAUGAUAGCUCGAACAUCAGCAAAAUCAACAUUAACCAGACCUGGCACCUGUAGAAGAAAAUUUCCCACCAUUAAGAGGGGAAUAACUGAAUAAGUAAGAACAUUGCUGAAUAUGGUUGACAAAGGAAAGGAAUAGAAGACAGAAGACAGAGGCCUAGAGACAUGGGAUAAGUCCAGAAACCCCUGUCAGAUGACUGUAGCAGCCUGGAAAUUGGCCUUCUCUUCUUUUGCAGGAUUUGAUAAGUAAGAAGUGUCUGGUUGCAAAUUCAACAGAAAAUUUGAAGUAGAGAGAAAUAAGUGCGAAUGUUAGUUCCAAAAAAAGGGUUUUUUUAUAAUUAUAAAAUCAAGUGCAUAGACAUUGUCAGAGCUGAUUGAAUGGUCAAACAUUAAACAAACAGUGAAAUUGUGCAUAAUUAUAAGCUCAUGGUCAUGGAAUAUGAGGGUUAGCACAUGAACAUCACACAUGAUUACCGGAAAAGAAAUCAUAGGAAGCCAAAGACACAAAUUAAAUUAGCAUUUGUCUUUACUCGUUCCAUACCAUGAUGAUGUCAGAGAUACCACGAACACCUUGCCGAAGUAUGUCAUCAGCCAAGUUAAAUGCCUCUGUCACUGGGGUUGAUUGAGAAACUGCAGUCAGCAACUUGUCAUUAGGAAUAACAAUUAAUGUGUCGACAUUGUUUCUCAGAGCCGCGAUUCCUUCCUGAGCUUGAACAGCGCGUCUUCGGCCCUCAAAAGAAAACGGUGACGUAACAAUACCAACAGUCAGUAUUCCCAUAGACUUUGCAACGCCAGCAAUAACUGGAGCCCCACCAGUGCCAGUUCCUCCACCCAUUCCAGCCUGCAAAUUUAACGCAUCAACAGGAUAUCAUAACAGAAUGAGAAAAGCAGCAACAAUCAGGAAGUACAGUACUGUGAUCUAUUUCUAGGACUUGUGAAGAACUACAUGGAGACAAAAAAAAUAUAAAGGGAACCCUCAACAGAAUGUGGUAGAUCUAGCAAUUGUUCUGGCCUGAUUUUACAUCAAUAUCUGAUAUAACAUGAAUCAAAGCUAUGAUCUGAUGAUAUGAACUUGUAAUUUUGCACUUCCUUCAACAACUAUAAUCUUCCCCCAUUAUUUUCCAAUUCAGGAAAAAAAAAUUAAAGCAUUCGAUUGACAAAAUUUGACUACAGUUGAACUCCCAUAUCUAUUGGAAUUACUACUUAACUAGAUAUCAGCAAGGAUCAAUGGGAAGCCUAAUAUGCAGUUCUGCAAAACACAAAAAAGUGUGCCUCUGAUCUCAAUAUUCUACUGAAUUGUGCAAAACUAAUAAAUUGUUCUUUUCAAAAAGAUGAUAGAAAGGAGUUCUAUAUCUCAGGACCUACUUUCAUCUUACUAAUUUUUUAAAACAAAUAACAUAUAGGAAAAGAACUAGGGCAUACUGUUAUGAAGACCAUGUCUGCACCAUAAAGUGCCUCCUCUAUCGCCGCUUUGCUUUCAUUUGCAGCAUUCAUGCCUAUAUCCGGGUUUCCACCAGCACCCAGACCUCUAGUCAGCUCUUUGCCAACUUGCAAUCGAUUCUCUGGGAGCACUGGUGACAUCUUCAUUGCCUGAAUAUCUGUGUUCACUAUCCAAAACUCCACCCCUGUCAGAGAACUCUCGAUCAUUCUAUUAACAGCAUUAGACCCACCACCUCCAACACCAACAACCUUGAUCUUGGCUUCAUUGUAGUUGCUCAUAAAAGAGGUAUCCCCUGAGCUCUCGGUGACAUUUCUUCCAGACGUCUCCUUUCUCACACUAGAAUAUGUGUCAUUUGCAUCACUUCUGAGCAUUGAAACCUCGGGGUGUAAAUCCAGGAAAGAGUCUUUGUGAUUUGGACUGAUAUUGUGAGAGUUAACCGAACACCUAAUUUGCGAGAUACUGACGGCAUUUCUUCCACAUGCGCCCCAUGAACCUUUCUUCUUGUCGAACCUUUGGGCCGUAACUAUUCUACCAAAUCGGUUUUCUGUUGAAAUCCUUCGUCCUACUGAAAUUUGAGUACCAGAUGGCGUGAAAGGCGGAGAUACACAAGACGCCAUACUAGAAGGGAAAAAGCAAAAUUCUUUAAAUUACGAUUCAGUAGUGAAGUAGUUUAGAACCAAAGCUGCCCAAAUCGAACUGUUCUGCUUACUUCCAUUCUUCCUUAACCUGGUCACAGGUAAUAACAAGUUAACCAGUCAAGAUAAACACAGAAAACAAUAGCAUUACAGAAAAAAGAUUUCAAACUUUAAGAAUCCAUCUUGGGUCAAGAAAACAAAACAACAUUGAAAAAAAAAUCAAGAUCCAACUACCA